rnacentral:piRNA from 1 species
UUCGUUGGUGCUGGCCCUCACCCAGG